UAGCAAGACUGCGUUUCUUCUCUCUUCAGUACUGUGGUUGUGUUCGAUGUAGCUGCCAAAAAAAAAAUUACUUUUGUAUGAUUUGAACAAGCUGGAUUAUCCAAGAAAAGUGAUUUUUCCGUUUCGUUAAUUACAAUUGUUUUGUAAACAGUUAACAUUAAUUAGUUAAUUUUAAAAUAAAACAUACACACAUGCUAUUAAAAAUAAAUUCGUGAAACGCGCUAAAAUUAGAUUAAUUUACAACAUAAUCACAAUUAGAAGUUAUUAGGAUGGUGAGAGUGUUUCAUCGAAUGCGAGUUUCGCAACAAGUAGUUAACAAUUCACCCGCUUUUCGUUCUGUGCCCGUCAGUGUUACUUGUUUCUACUGUCACAAUGUUGUCACAACGAAAACCGUUGAAUCAAGGAAUAUCAAGUGCUGCCUUCUAUUUUGUUGUUUGACGAUGUGCUGCCCGGGAUGCAAAAACGUCGAACAUCGCUGUCCACAGUGCAAUGUCAUACUGGGUAACUUCAAGCCGACCUAAUUGUAUUACGUUUUAGUCAAUUACGAUAACAGGGUGAUUCUAUGCAAAAAUAAAAUGUGAAAGGAAGUCGGAAAAAUGGUUAAAAUUAAACUUAAUCGAGAAUUAAAGAUAGGAUAGUGAAUACAGAGCAUUCGGUUGUUUCGCUAAGCCUGGGCAAGCAUACCAUCCGUGUUGCGUGAAUAUAUUCUCAAGAUUUAAAAUAGUUCAUAAAUUGUGCUGUUGAAUCCACUGUUCGUCGUGUUCGUUACACAGCACCAUUGCAAUACGUGUUACGACACUCUUGCAAUUAACUUGCAAACAAUACGAUGUAUAUUUGUGACUCAAAAAUCGGUCAUUGUGGUGUCGUCGUCGCCUGUGAGUUGAGAAAAACUUUUUUUUUGUUGGUUAUAAAUGCAUUUCAGCUACAGUUACAGUGAAAUUCCCCAGAUAUUUGAAUGUGCUAAAGAGCACAACCUCGAACAGUUAACUCACCGCAAAUUAACCAAUUGAGAUGUCGUCGUAGCCAGGAUUAUAAUUUUACUUGCGAUAUCAAUUCUUGUUCGCAUUGUGAAUAUUUGUUGCUGCUGUUAAUCAUUUGGCGGAAGCACAUGCCUUACCAAACCAUAAUGUUACAGAAACCGUAAUAGAUAAACAUCGAACGAAAUAUACCACAUUUCAUAGUGAUUUAUGUACAUUUGUAUGCGUCAUGUCAUGAUUGAAAAUAAAAGAAAAGAAAAAUCGUUUUCUUCAGUUAGCCGAACAUAAUUUUGAACGAAUAUAGUUUGAGAUUUCAAAAUCAGACUCAACGAGCGGAGCGGAUUAGACACGGAUAGAACUAACCGGUACUUUAUGAAUGUUCCAUCUAAUUUAUCAUCUAAUUAAACAGAUUUUAUAUGCUCGUUCCUUUUUUACAAAACAUUGUUUUAUUGUCAACGAAAAGCCGACGAUCCAAUUUUAUCUUUGCAAGAAAGCUACCCAAACAGCAUGUGAUGCUUUGUUACUUAGGCGCGUUUCGUUAUAGUUUUAUAAUAAAAAUAAUGAUCAAUAAAUAAUGAUUAAGGAUUCCACACA